CCUACGGGAGGCAGCAGUGAGGAAUAUUGGUCAAUGGGCGAGAGCCUGAACCAGCCAAGUCGCGUGAGGGAAGACGGUCCUAUGGAUUGUAAACCUCUUUAGGCGGGGAGCAAAGCCGGGCACGCGUGCCCUGAGGGAGAGUACCCGCAGAAUAAGCAACGCGUAACACCGUGCAGGCGGCCGCGGUAAUACGGAGGAUGCGGCGGUUAUCGGGAUUUAUGGGGUUAAAUGGGUGCGAGGGCGAAGUUUUAGGUCCACGUGAAAAUGUCCGGGCUAACCCCGGGACGGCCGUUGAAACUGGGGAUCUUGAGUGGGCGAGAAGUAGGCGGAAUGCGUGGUGGAGCGGUGAAAUGCAUAGAUAUCACGCAGAACUCCGAUUGCGAAGGCAGCAUACCGGCGCCCGACUGACGCUGAGGCACGAAAGCGUGGGGAUCGAACAGGAUUAGAUACCCGUGUAGUC
rnacentral:rRNA from 1 species